rnacentral:rRNA from 1 species
AUUGAACGCUGGCGGCAGGCCUAACACACGCAAUUCGAACGAGUGGCGGACGGGUGGGUAAUGUCUGGGAAACUGCCUGAUGGAGGGGGAUAACUACUGGAAACGGUAGCUAAUACCGCAUACCAUCGGAUGUUCCCCGAUGGGAUUAGCUAGUAGGUGGGGUAACGGCUCACCUAGGCGACGGUCCCUAGCUGGUCUGAGAGGAUGACCAGCCAGACUGGAACUGAGACACGGGCUAGUCUCCUACGGGAGGCGGCAGUGGGGAAUAUUGCACAAUGGGCGCAAGCCUGAUGCAGCCAAGCCGAGUGUAUGAAGAAGGCCUGCGGGUUGUAAAGGACUUUCAGCGGGGAGGCGUUACCCGCAGAAGAAGCACCGGCUAACUCCGUGCCAGCCGCCGCGGUAAUUC